GGUGUGGCUGAGACCAGCCCUCUAGUUCUGGAGCCCCGUCGCGCGGUCCCAGGGCCAGGCAGGGGCGGAGGCGCAGGUGAGAAUUUCUAGGCUUCCCCCCACACAAAGUUCACACCGGAAAUAAAUGUGCAACAGAUCUGAGGCUGCCUGGCUCUUGGAUCUUCUCCCAGUCACUGUCAGGAGCCCUCCAAAGCUCAGAGCCCCACACUGCUACUUGCCGUAAGGAGGUGCGUGAGUAUAUUCCAGCAACCUGGUUAAAAUGUCUUUUUCAGGUGAAAUAUGUUCUGGUGGAAACAACCCAAAUGUCCAACAUAUGAGCCUGGGAAAUUGACCCUGGUAUGUCCAUGUGGGGAAUAUCACAUGAUCAUCAAAAGUGGUGAUGGAAACCUAGGAAGAGAUGGAAAGAUGAUUCUAAUCUAGCAACAUAAAAGGGCAGCUUACAAAGCUGCUCUAUUUUUUUGUUUUGAAAAAUAUUCAAAAAGUAUUUGAAGAGCAUGUAUUAUAACAUUUCUAAUGAUUAUUGCUAAUGGAUUAUGAGAGAUUUUUAUUCCCUGCCCCCUCUGUCUUUUCUAACCUAUGCUUUCUAAAUUUCCUACCAAGAAACAUUUAUUACUCUGUAGCAAAGUAACAGGUUUAAGUCCAAAUCCUAGUCCUAAUGGCCUCAAUGAUCUUGAGGCCAUUGCUUAAUUUCUCCACCUGGGGAGAAUCAUUUUAGGAUUUUGUGAGGAUUAAACAAGCUAACUGUAAGAGGCACUUAGUACAUUUUUAGGCGUUGUCACUAACAAAAUCAUUUUUGCAAAUCUUUCUACUCUGGUAAAACCCAUUCCCAAAGCAGACCAACCACAUCUGGGAGCCACUGGGGCUUUGUCUCAGAAGGCCUGGACUCCAUCCCUCCCCUGCCCUCUCUCUAGGGUGGGCAGCUAGGGCUGAGGGCUGGGAUCCCGCUUUCAGUGCCUGCCAAGAGUUGCUCUGGCAGAUAUCUGGGUUUUGUUAUGCACAGAGAAAUAAUUUGGUGUUGGCAUAAUGGCAUAUUACUUAAAAGCAUGGAUCCUGCAGUCAGUCUGCCUGCCUCUCACAUCUAUUAAUGGGGAGAAAAAUGCCCCCAUGCUCCCAGGGUUCAGGUGAAGAUCAGUGUCACCACAGUGUUGCAGCUUGGGCACGGCAUCUUGACCAAUGCCGACUCUGCAGCUGCAAUGUCAAGCCUUAGAAAUUCACACAACAUAAAACCAUUUGCAAGUGACCAUCAGCCACCACCUCUAUGUGUUUCAAAGCAUUUUGUCACCUCAAAAAGACUGCUAAUCUCCUGUCUUUCUGGGUAUUCCAUCAAAAUAGAAUCAUAGAAUGAGUGGCCUUUUGUUUGUGGCUUCUGAUUCUCUAACAGCUUAACCAUUUACCAUUCACUGGCAUUAAGUACGUUGUCUCACACACCGUCACCACCAUCUUUUUCCAGAACUUCAGCACCUCACGCAGACCCCGGAGGCUGGCCUUUAAAUUCUUACACAGCCUCCUCGGCAAGUGUUAGAAUCCCCAGAGCGUGUGAAAACACAGAUUGCUGCCUCCACCCUGAAUAUUUGCUGCCUUAGAUUUCAGGUCUACGGGACACAGUGGACAGUGGCCUCAGUCAGGGUCAGCCAGGGAAGCCGAGCCAUGUGACCUGUGGAAUGAGGGAUUUGUGGCAGGUGGUGGGAGUGAGGUCUCACACGAACACAGGGGAAACAGAGCAGAGGUGAAAGGAUUGUUGUCAGCAGGGCAUCUCCAGCUGAUCCACUGGAAGUCAGAUGUCCACUUGCAGAGUGGGACAGGAGGGAGGCUGGUGCAAAUGUCUGUCAUCAGCCUUGCAUGGCAGGUCCCCAGCCAAGUGUCCCAUGGUGGCUUGGGCCACUGUGGUCAGCAGGAAGAGCGAUACAGAGUGGAAG
ensembl:lncRNA